AUGGCAAUACCAGUGGUUGUGAUGGAUAUUUCGUCUGCUGGCAACAGUAACAAGGUUCAGACUUAUGGCAGCAUUAAACAUAAUACCUAAGCUGGAUAUGCUUUGACUUGACACCAAACGUCUGGAAAGAGGAAUCCCACACCACAGGGCUUACUGAUUCUUUGUGCUCAGCUUUUCUCAAGAGAAUACUUUUGAAUGGAAAUGUGCAGUUUCUUCAUUAUAAUAUUUGGGGAACAUCUAAUCUGAAGAAUUCCCUUCAAGGAGG